rnacentral:rRNA from 1 species
GACGAACGCUGGCGGCGUGCCUAAUACAUGCAAGUCGAACGCAGUGGGGACGGGUGAGUAACACGUGGGUAACCUCCCAUCAGAGGGGAUAACACUUGGAAACAGGUGCUAAACCGAUACAGAUGGAUGGACCCGCGGUGCAUUAGCUAGUUGGUGAGGUAACGGCUCACCAAGGCAACGAUGCAUAGCGGACCUGAGAGGUUGAUCGGCCACUCUGGGACUGAGACACGGCCCAGAAUCCUACGGGAGGCAGCAGUAGGGAAUCUUCGGCAAUGGGCGAAAGUCUGACCGAGCAACGCCGCGUGAGUGAAGAAGGGUUUCGGAUCGUAAACCACUGUUGUUAGAGAAGCGGUAUCUAACCAGAAAGCCACGGCUAACUACGUGCCAGCAGCCGCGGUAAUAC